GACGAACGCUGGCGGCGUGCUUAACACAUGCAUGUCGAACGGAAAGGCCCUGCUUUUGUGGGGUGCUCGAGUGGCGAACGGGUGAGUAACACGUGAGUAACCUGCCCUUGACUUUGGGAUAACUUCAGGAAACUGGGGCUAAUACCGGAUAGGAGCUCCUGCUGCAUGGUGGGGGUUGGAAAGUUUCGGCGGUUGGGGAUGGACUCGCGGCUUAUCAGCUUGUUGGUGGGGUAGUGGCUUACCAAGGCUUUGACGGGUAGCCGGCCUGAGAGGGUGACCGGCCACAUUGGGACUGAGAUACGGCCCAGACUCCUACGGGAGGCAGCAGUGGGGAAUAUUGCACAAUGGGCGGAAGCCUGAUGCAGCAACGCCGCGUGCGGGAUGACGGCCUUCGGGUUGUAAACCGCUUUCGCCUGUGACGAAGAGUGAGUGACGGUAAUGGGUAAAGAAGCACCGGCUAACUACGUG
rnacentral:rRNA from 1 species